rnacentral:rRNA from 1 species
GAUGAACGCUAGCGGGAGGCUUAACACAUGCAAGCCGAGGGGUAUAGUUCUUUCGUGAUCUAGAGACCGGCGCACGGGUGCGUAACGCGUAUGCAACUUUCCCUACUGAAAAGGAUAGCCCUUCGAAAGGAGGAUUAAUACUUUAUAACAGAUUUAAUGGCAUCAUUAGAUUUUGAAAGAUUUAUCGCAGUAUGAUAGGCAUGCGUAGGUUUAGUUAGUUGGUUAGGUAACGGCUCACCAAGACGAUGAUCUUUAGGGGGCCUGAGAGGGUGAACCCCCAAACUGGUACAGAGACAAGGAGAAGACUCGUACGGGAGGAAGCAGAGAGGAAGAAUGGACAAUGGGUGGAAGACUGAACCAGCCAGCCAGAGUGUAGGAUGACGGCAUUAUGGGUUGUAAACUACUUUUAUAAGGGGAUAAACCUAAUUACGUGUAAGUAGCUGAAGGAACCAGAAGAAUAAGCACCGGCUAACUCCGU